rnacentral:lncRNA from 1 species
CAUAAGUGAGUGAAGUCCAGGUUCGGCCGCCGAACCUCAUGUUCGGCCGCCGAACUUGCAUGCGUUGCGGAGGCACGUUCGGCUCCCGAAUGUGGCCUGGCCAGCCACCUAUAAAGGGGUCCCUUAGCCGAAAACGGGCGAGUUUUUCUCCCCAUUUUCGGCCAAGGUGAGCUCUCCGCCGUCCCUCACCGAUCUUGAGUUUCUUCCUUCCAUUCUUCAUGAUUUUUAUGAGUUU